rnacentral:rRNA from 1 species
UACGUAGGGGGCAAGCGUUGUCCGGAUUUAUUGGGCGUAAAGAGCGUGUAGGCGGCUAGGUAGGUCCGUUGUGAAAACUCGAGGCUCAACCUCGAGACGUCGAUGGAAACCAUCUGGCUAGAGUCCGGAAGAGGAGAGUGGAAUUCCUGGUGUAGCGGUGAAAUGCGCAGAUAUCAGGAAGAACACCCGUGGCGAAGGCGGCUCUCUGGUACGUGGCUGACGCUGAGACGCGAAAGCGUGGGGAGCGAACAGG